AGGGUGUGUCUACAAAUGUUAUCUGGGAGCUAGGACCUGGAAAGGGGUUCUCACAAUUGUGCCUGGUGCCCUAUCCUACUGUGGCUGAGCUGGUAUUCAGGAUGCAAGACAAAGUCCUCUUUACUUUUUGCUCCCCUUUCCUUAAGCAGAAGGAAAGGGUCACUUUUAUUGCUAUAAGCUGCACUGGACACCAGAGUACUUCAGCACAUGGUGGCAAGGCUUGCUGACAAAUGCAAGCUCUAACUGCUGGGAUGGAUGACUCCCCUCUGGCUACGGCUGGUCCACAUGCUCCCUCUGUGCACAGGCACUGGCUGAGCCUGGCACGGCUUUAUUUUCCACCAUGACAGGGCAGCACUGAGUUCAAUGUAAAGUCCUCCAGUUGCUGU
rnacentral:lncRNA from 1 species